rnacentral:rRNA from 1 species
CCUACGGGAGGCAGCAGUGGGGAAUAUUGCGCAAUGGGCGAAAGCCUGACGCAGCGACGCCGCGUGAGGGAUGAAGGUCUUCGGAUCGUAAACCUCUGUCAGCAGGGAAGAACGGUCACUGUGCUAAUCAGCAGUGAAUUGACGGUACCUGCAAAGGAAGCACCGGCUAACUCCGUGCCAGCAGCCGCGGUAAUACGGAGGGUGCGAGCGUUAAUCGGAAUUACUGGGCGUAAAGCGCUCGUAGGCGGUAUGUCAAGUCAAGGGUGAAAGCCCCGCGCACAACGUGGGAACUGCCUUUGAAACUGGCAAACUGGAGUGUGUGAGAGGAUAGUGGAAUGCCAGGUGUAGGAGUGAAAUCCGUAGAUAUCUGGAGGAACAUCAGUGGCGAAGGCGACUAUCUGGCACAUAACUGACGCUGAGGAGCGAAAGCGUGGGUAGCAAACAGGAUUAGAUACCCCUGUAGUC